rnacentral:rRNA from 1 species
UGGGGAAUUUUGGACAAUGGGCGCAAGCCUGAUCCAGCAAUGCCGCGUGCAGGAUGAAGGCCUUCGGGUUGUAAACUGCUUUUGGACGGAACGAAAAGGCUCUGGUUAAUACCUGGGGCUCAUGACGGUACCGUAAGAAUAAGCACCGGCUAACUACGUGCCAGCAGCCGCGGUAAUACGUAGGGUGCAAGCGUUAAUCGGAAUUACUGGGCGUAAAGCGUGCGCAGGCGGUUAUGCAAGACAGAGGUGAAAUCCCCGGGCUCAACCUGGGAACUGCCUUUGUGACUGUAUAGCUAGAGUACGGUAGAGGGGGAUGGAAUUCCGCGUGUAGCAGUGAAAUGCGUAGAUAUGCGGAGGAACACCGAUGGCGAAGGCAAUCCCCUGGACCUGUACUGACGCUCAUGCACGAAAGCGUGGGGAGCAAACA